AAAGAUCUCUCUGCUGCAUCAGCAGUGAAGAAAGAACCCAAAAGGGUCCCUGACCAUUUAAAAGCUGACGAUGCAGAGACCCAAAAACGAAUUGCAAAGAGACUAGAGAAACAGCGCCUCCCUCAGAGAACUGUUGCUCAGCGAAAAGUUCGACUGUUCAAUCAUCUCCAUCAGUAUGAGAGAGAGGUUUCACUAACAGGGUCUUUCUCCUUUUCGUCAGGAGGGAUACAUCCGGUUAUCAUCAAACUAGGUCUUCAGUAUGCUGAAGGAGUGAUAUGUGGAUCUAAUGCUCGCUGUCUGGCUAUGUUAGCAGCAUUUAAACAGGUGAUUCAAGAUUACACCACUCCUCCUCAAAAAGAGCUCUCAAGAGAUCUGGAAGCCACAAUAAAGCCAUACAUAAGUUUCCUGAAUCAGUGUCGUUUGAUGUCAGUGAGCAUGGGAAAUGCGGUCAAGCAUCUGAAACACCACAUAACUCACAUGCCAAAUAAUCUAAAGGAUCAUGAAGCUAAGAAGAAACUUCUAGAGACUAUUGACAGUUACAUAAAAGAAAGGAUUUUACUUUCUGCAGUAGCCAUUUCAAAAUAUGUGCAGGAUGAGGCAAAAAUAAAAGAUGGAGAUGUUAUUCUUGUGUAUUCAUGUUCGUCCAUUGUUCGCAAAGUUCUCUGCGAUGCCUGGAAUCAAGGGAAAAAGUUCAAGGUCAUUGUGGUAGAUGCUCGUCCUAAAAUGGAAGGGAAGGAGAUGUUGAGGAGACUGGUGAGGGCUGGUAUUCCCUGCUCCUACUUCAUGAUUAAUGCAGCCUCCUACGCAAUGCAAGAGGCUACUAAAGUGAUGCUGGGAGCCCACGCUCUGUUGGCCAAUGGCUGUGUCAUGUCCCGGGUAGGAACCUCACAGAUCGCCCUGAUAGCCAAGGCGUGCAAUGUUCCGGUCCUUGUCUGCUGUGAAACGUACAAGUUCUGUGAGCGUGGACAGACCGAUUCCUUUGUAUAUAAUGAAUUGGGUGACCCUGAUGAUCUGGUGUUUAUCGGCAACAAGACGCCGUAUCUGAAUGACUGGAGGGACUACAACUCACUGACCCUCCUCAAUCUAGUCUACGACGUGACCCCACCAGAGUUCAUCUCCUUGGUGAUUACUGAAUUAGGACUUAUUCCGUGUACUUCUGUUCCUGUUGUGCUUCGUAUGAAGCAAGCUGAAACUAAUGAGACAUAAGACUUUUGAAAUAAAUACUGUGACUGGCUUGAG
rnacentral:misc_RNA from 1 species